GGAGAGGUGGCCGAGUGGUUGAAGGCAGCCGCCUGCUAAGCGGUUGUCUCGAGAAAUCGGGACCCAGGGUUCGAAUCCCUGCCUCUCCGCCA
rnacentral:tRNA from 3 species